rnacentral:rRNA from 1 species
ACAGGUGCUGCAUGGCUGUCGUCAGCUCGUGUCGUGAGAUGUUGGGUUAAGUCCCGCAACCGAGCGCAACCCCGCCGUUAGUUGCCAGCGGUUCGGCCGGGCACUCUAACGGGACUGCCCGCGAAAGCGGGAGGAAGGAGGGGACGACGUCUGGUCAGCAUGGCCCUUACGGCCUGGGCGACACACGUGCUACAAUGCCCACUACAAAGCGAGGCCACCCGGCAACGGGGAGCUAAUCGCAAAAGGUGGGCCCAGUUCGGAUUGGGGGUCUGCAACCCGACCCCAUGAAGCCGGAAUCGCUAGUAAUCGCGGAUCAGCCAUGCCGCGGUGAAUAACGUUCCCGGGCCCGUU